rnacentral:rRNA from 1 species
GAUGAACGCUGGCGGCGUGCCUAAUACAUGCAAGUCGAGCGAACGGACGAGAAGCUUGCUUCUCUGAUGUUAGCGGCGGACGGGUGAGUAACACGUGGAUAACCUACCUAUAAGACUGGGAUAACUUCGGGAAACCGGAGCUAAUACCGGAUAAUAUUUUGAACCGCAUGGUUCAAAAGUGAAAGACGGUCUUGCUGUCACUUAUAGAUGGAUCCGCGCUGCAUUAGCUAGUUGGUAAGGUAGCGGCUUACCAAGGCAACGAUGCAUAGCCGACCUGAGAGGGUGAUCGGCCACACUGGGACUGAGACACGGUCCAGACUCCUACGGGAGGCAGCAGUAGGGAAUCUUCCGCAAUGGGCGAAAGCCUGACGGAGCAACGCCGCGUGAGUGAUGAAGGUCUUCGGAUCGUAAAACUCUGUUAUUAGGGAAGAACAUAUGUGUAAGUAACUGUGCACAUCUUGACGGUACCUAAUCAGAAAGCCACGGCUAACUACGUG